GACGAACGCUGGCGGCGUGCCUAAUACAUGCAAGUCGAGCGAAUGGAUUAAGAGCUUGCUCUUAUGAAGUUAGCGGCGGACGGGUGAGUAACACGUGGGUAACCUGCCCAUAAGACUGGGAUAACUCCGGGAAACCGGGGCUAAUACCGGAUAACAUUUUGAACCGCAUGGUUCGAAAUUGAAAGGCGGCUUCGGCUGUCACUUAUGGAUGGACCCGCGUCGCAUUAGCUAGUCGGUGAGGUAACGGCUCACCAAGGCAACGAUGCGUAGCCGACCUGAGAGGGUGAUCGGCCACACUGGGACUGAGACACGGCCCAGACUCCUACGGGAGGCAGCAGUAGGGAAUCUUCCGCAAUGGACGAAAGUCUGACGGAGCAACGCCGCGUGAGUGAUGAAGGCUUUCGGGUCGUAAAACUCUGUUGUUAGGGAAGAACAAGUGCUAGUUGAAUAAGCUGACACCUUGACGGUACCUAACCCGAAAGCCACGGCUAACUACGUGCCAGCCGCCGCAGUAA
rnacentral:rRNA from 1 species